UAUAUAAAAAGACAAGUUUUGCUUACAAAAUGGGAGACCAAACGGGAGACAGUGACCCUUAGACUAGGUUUUCUUUUCUUCAUUAACCCAUGAUAGAUGGUACAGGUCCCUUAGCUUUAGGCAUCGUCUUCAUGAAUUUCACAAAUGGAGGCUGAGCAUCAGCCACUUGUCCGAAACCCAUUUGAUUUCGGAAACUUUAAUUCAUAUUAAAUGGAAACCAUGUGAAAGUUUAAGUGCCAAUAAAAAAUUUUUUAGCUGUGAAUUAUAUAAUGAUUGAU
rnacentral:lncRNA from 1 species